rnacentral:rRNA from 1 species
UGGAAACUNUCUGACUUGAGUGCAGAAGGGGAGAGUGGAAUNCCAUGUGUAGCGGUGAAAUGCGUAGAUAUAUGGAGGAACACCAGUGGCGAAAGCGGCUCUCUGNUCUGUCACUGACGCUGAGGCACGAAAGCGUGGGUAGCGAACAGGAUUAGAUACCCNUGGUAGUCCACGCCGUAAACGAUGAGUGCUAGGUGUUAGGCCCUUUCCGGGGCUUAGUGCCGGAGCUAACGCAAUAAGCACUCCGCCUGGGGAGUACGACCGCAAGGUUGAAACUCAAAGGAAUUGACGGGGGCCCGCACAAGCGGUGGAGCAUGUGGUUUAAUUCGAAGCAACGCGAAGAACCUUACCAGGUCUUGACAUCCCGAUGCUAUUCUUAGAGAUAGGAAGUUACUUCGGUACAUCGGUGACAGGUGGUGCAUGGUUGUCGUCAGCUCGUGUCGUGAGAUGUUGGGUUAAGUCCCGCAACGAGCGCAACCCUUAUUGUUAGUUGCCAUCAUUAAGUUGGGCACUCUAGCGAGACUGCCGGUAAUAAACCGGAGGAAGGUGGGGAUGACGUCAAAUCAUCAUGCCCCUUAUGACCUGGGCUACACACGUGCUACAAUGGUCGGUACAACGAGUUGCGAGCCGGUGACGGCAAGCUAAUCUCUGAAAGCCGAUCUCAGUUCGGAUUGGAGGCUGCAACUCGCCUCCAUGAAGUCGGAAUCGCUAGUAAUCGCGGAUCAGCGCGCCGCGGUGAAUACGUCCCCGGGCCUUGUNC